rnacentral:rRNA from 1 species
AGGUGCUGACGAGUGGCGAACGGGUGAGUAAUGCAUCGGAACGUGCCCAGUAGUGGGGGAUAGCCCGGCGAAAGCCGGAUUAAUACCGCAUACGACCUACGGGUGAAAGCGGGGGACCGAAAGGCCUCGCGCUAUUGGAGCGGCCGAUGUCAGAUUAGGUAGUUGGUGGGGUAAAGGCCUACCAAGCCUACGAUCUGUAGCUGGUCUGAGAGGACGACCAGCCACACUGGGACUGAGACACGGCCCAGACUCCUACGGGAGGCAGCAGUGGGGAAUUUUGGACAAUGGGCGCAAGCCUGAUCCAGCCAUGCCGCGUGCGGGAAGAAGGCCUUCGGGUUGUAAACCGCUUUUGUCAGGGAAGAAAUCUUCUGGGUUAAUACCUCGGGAGGAUGACGGUACCUGAAGAAUAAGCACCGGCUAACUACGUGCCAGCAGCCGCGGUAAUACGUAGGGUGCAAGCGUUAAUCGGAAUUACUGGGCGUAAAGCGUGCGCAGGCGGUUAUGUAAGACAGAUGUGGAAUCCCCGGGCUUAACCUGGGAACUGCAUUUGUGACUGCAUAGCUGAGUGC